GGGGGUAUAGCUCAGUGGUAGAGCACACAUUUAGCAUGCACGAGAUCCUGGGUUCAAUCCCCAGUACCUCCA
rfam:Camelus ferus unplaced genomic scaffold scaffold1293, whole genome shotgun sequence.